rnacentral:lncRNA from 1 species
CUGUGAUUUCCUGCCUUAAGGUUUUCAGAGAGUGCAGAAUGACUCGAUUAGUUUCAUUCUGGUGAAUAUUAUAAUGAAAAUAUCUGGGCAAAUCAGUGAAAAUCUAGGCCAGAGUGUAUUCAUACUUCAUGCCACAAGUCCAUUCUGAGGCCCAUCAGCAUCCUGCCAAUACGGUGGACAGAAGGAAUGUGAGCCACAGAGGAAGCUGGUUUAAUUUAGAGGUAGUUGGAGUUCCCCAGGAACCUAGGAAUUAGGAUUUGUUUGGGCAGGGAUGAAAGGGCCAGCCUAAAUCCUAAACAUCCUAUGUAUUUCCCCCUGUUGGCUAGUUAUUUCACCAAAGCGCUAACACAAAACUUGUAGAUUCAGCAUUUUAGGUGGUCACUGGGUAAAGGAAUUAUAGCUUUGUAUGUGCAUGGGAAGCUUUCCUUUGGGUUUCUGAUGUA